UUGGAGGGCAAGUCUGGUGCCAGCAGCCGCGGUAAUUCCAGCUCCAAUAGCGUAUAUUAAAGUUGUUGCAGUUAAAAAGCUCGUAGUUGAAUUUCGGGAUCAAUACGUCGGUCGUGCUUUCGGGUACGUACUGGCGUCAUUGGUUUCUCCUUUCUGACGAACCAUGAUGUCAUUAAUUUGGUGUUAUGGGGAGUUAGGACUGUUACUUUGAAAAAAUUAGAGUGUUUAAAGCAGGCAUUAGCUUGAAUACAUUAGCAUGGAAUAAUGAAAUAGGACGUUCGAUCCUAUUUUGUUGGUUUCUAGGAUCAACGUAAUGAUUAAUAGGGAUAGUUGGGGGCAUUAGUAUUCAAUUGUCAGAGGUGAAAUUCUUGGAUUUAUUGAAGACUAACUACUGCGAAAGCAUUUGCCAAGGAUGUUUUCAUUAAUCAAGAACGAAAGUUAGGGGAUCGAAGACGAUCAGAUACCGUCGUAGUCUUAACCAUAAACUAUGCCGACUAGGGAUCGGAUGAUGUUAAUUUUUUAAUGACUCAUUCGGCGCCUA
rnacentral:rRNA from 1 species